UCCUGCCAGUAGCAUAUGCUUGUCUCAAAGAUUAAGCCAUGCAUGUCCAAGUAUAAACACCUUUAUACAGCGAAACUGCGUACAGCUCAUUACAUCAGCUAUUAUUCAUUUGAAGAUUGAGCACUACAUGGUUAUAACCGUAGAAACGCUAAGGCUAAUACAUGCGCAAAGCCCCGACUGCGUGUAGCGGAAGGGGUGUAUUUAUUAGAUUCAGACCCGCCGGGGCAACCCGACUGUUGGUGAUUCAUAGUAACUGUUCGGACCCUUCUUCGGAAGGGCAAUUCAUUCAAAUUCCUGCCCUAUCAAGCUUCGACGGUAGUGUAGUGGACUACCGUACUAGUAACGGGUAACGGGGAAUUAGGGUUCGAUUCCGGAGAGGGAGCCUGAGAGACGGCUACCACAUCCAAGGAAGGCAGCAGGCGCGCAAAUUACCCACUCCUGACACAGGGAGGUAGUGACAAGAAGUGCGCACGAGAAGGGCCGCAAGGCCCUUUUCGAUGCGGAUGGGGGGAUUUGGUUAAAAAGUUCCCCGAAAGCUAUUCGAGGGCAAGUCUGGUGCCAGCAGCCGCGGUAAUUCCAGCUCGAAGGGCGUAUCUUAAAAUUGUUGCGGUUAAAAAGCUCGUAGUUGGAUUUUUCCGCUUCAGACCCGCGAUCCCUCGCGGUGGGCUUUGCCUGCCGAGAGUGGAGAGCGGCUGGGCGAUUCUUCGCCGAGGCGCAAUGGGUUAAACCAUUGUGUUUCGGCAACUACUUUGAGAAAAUUAGAGUGUUUCAAGCAGGCAAUUAAUCAAUGCCGUGAAUACUACAGCAUGGAAUAGAACCAACGGGCUUUCGUCCUGCGCUGGUGGGUUCCUGGACCAAGUCAUGAUUGAUAGGGACGGUUGGGGGUGCUCGUAUUCCGCGGCCAGAGGUGAAAUUCUUGGAUUCGCGGAAGACGAACUAGUGCGAAAGCAUUCACCAAGUACGUUUUCUUUAAUCAAGAACGAAAGUUGGGGGAUCGAAGACGAUCAGAUACCGUCGUAGUCUCAACCAUAAACUAUGUCAACUGGGGGUGUUUCAUUGUUUGUUUGGGUUCAGUGCCAGGUCGCAAGAUCUGGCACUCCAAACGCGACGUGAAGCGAACCCAAUGGGAAACCAAAGUGUUCGGAUUCCGGGGGGAGUAUGGUCGCAAGGCUGAAACUUAAAGGAAUUGACGGAAGGGCACACCAGG
rnacentral:rRNA from 1 species